rnacentral:rRNA from 1 species
AGUGAACGCUGGCGGUAGGCCUAACACAUGCAAGUCGAACGGCAGCACAGUAAGAGCUUGCUCUUACGGGUGGCGAGUGGCGGACGGGUGAGGAAUACAUCGGAAUCUACUUUUUCGUGGGGGAUAACGUAGGGAAACUUACGCUAAUACCGCAUACGACCUACGGGUGAAAGCAGGGGAUCUUCGGACCUUGCGCGAUUGAAUGAGCCGAUGUCGGAUUAGCUAGUUGGCGGGGUAAAGGCCCACCAAGGCGACGAUCCGUAGCUGGUCUGAGAGGAUGAUCAGCCACACGGGAACUGAGACACGGUCCAGACUCCGACGGGAGGCAGCAGUGGGGAAUAUUGGGCAAUGGGCGCAAGCCUGAUCCAGCCAUACCGCGUGGGUGAAGAAGGCCUUCGGGUUGUAAAGCCCUUUUGUUGGGAAAGAAAAGCAGCAGGUUAAUACCCCGCUGUUCUGACGGUACCCAAAGAAUAAGCACCGGCUAACUUCGUG